GUGGGGGACGGGGCAGAAGAAAGAGAGACACAGAAUCAGAAGCAGGCUCCAGGCUCUAAGCAUCUGGCAUUUGCUGUUAAAGCAAAGGAAAAGGAAGAACAUGGCAAUUCUACUAAUGAAUUGUUAGCUGUCUCACCCUUGGGGUUGGCGCAGAAGACAUGCAAUGUUCUAGAAAGUGUUAAGGUGGUUGAAUGGGGGCCUCUCUUGGAAAAGAAAUCUUUAAAUUCAGUUUGAUUCAGAUACCUCUUCUACUGCUUUUCACACCUUAUAGAUAUGCCCAAGAGUCCUGCCUGGGCUUCACUUGCAGUUUUUUUAAUGAAAAACCUCAGCAAUAGGUUUCACUGUGACAUAGAAUUGAUUUUCUUUGUCAGUGUCUAUCAUUUUGACAAUCACAGCUUGGGAGGCCUGCUGAGCUGUCAGAAAACGGACUCAUCUUCGCAUUACUUUAACCAAAACAGUUACGGUUUCUAAAACUUUAAAUUAGAUUCCUAUGUCGGUCCCAACUUACACUGCCACCAAAUGCAUUAGACUAGCAUUUCUGAAUUGCAAAUAACCCUUUCCCCCCCGUGGAUGUAUUUUUAUCCAGGGCGAUAUCCCUUUAACUCAAGGCUUGAAAAAUGAAGCCCAUGUGAUUUUAAGAAGAUGAACACACUUUUAAGUGGUGAAGCAUGUUGUAGCUUAAAAAAAGAAAAAACAUAGCCUUCCAAGAGAAUCAUCUCUCCAGUAACAAAAAAAAAAACCAAGAAACAAACAAACCAAAAAAACCCAAUCUUGACUGAUAGCUCUUUUCAAGUGCAAAUGAGGGAGCUGACAGCAAGGAGAGGUUUGAAAUCCUCAUUUGGUUGGAUGGUAGUUUGCUCUUUUAACGUAAAUAUUGAUGCGCAGUAUGGUUUUCCCUGUUGCAAAUCACUCAUGCAUGCAAAUAUGCUCAGAAUUUAAUACACAUGUGCGCUGUUCCUUUCCUAAAUCCCCUAUUCUUUUCCUUAUAACGCCCUUCUCAGCGGAGCAGAGAGCAUGUGAUUUUAAGCACGUCAAUUUUAAGACAGCAGCUCUAAAGAGCACCCAAAAAAUCUGCCCAGAAGCCAACGAAAGAGCCAAUAUGUUUACAUAAGUGAAGGUCUCAUCGUUUCCCUGUCCAGCCUAUUUACAGAGUUGUGCAACCAUCACCAUCUAUGGACUUCCAGACAAUUUUCAUCAUCCCAAAAGGAAACCUCGUACUCAUUUGCAGUGACUUCCAUUUCCCUCUUCUCUGGAAACCACUAACCUGCUUUCUGUCUUAUGGAUUUGAUUCACCUAUUCAGGGUAAUUAUCACAAAUGAAAUCUUACAAUAUGU